ensembl:miRNA
GGUCUGUGGGCUGGGGAAGGGCUGCUGGGUGGUACCAGCCAGCCUCACCCGUGCCCGAGAGC